GCCGGGCCUGGUGGUGCAUGCCUGUAAUCCUGGCGGCUUGGGAGGCUGAGACAGGAGGAUCGCAGGUUCAAGCCAGCCUCAACAACAGCCAGACACUAAGCAACUCAUUGAGACCCCAUCUCUA
rnacentral:sRNA from 1 species